rnacentral:rRNA from 1 species
UUCUAAUUGCUGUAAUAAUUAGUAAGACCUGCUCAAUGAAAAUUAAAUAGCCGCAGAUUUACAUGUGCUAAGGUAGCAUAAUCAUUUGCCUUAUAAUUGAAGGCUAGAAUGAAAGGUUUAACAUGUAAAUACCUUUAUUAAACAGAUUACUAAAAAUUAAUAUUCAAGUAAAAAAUCUUGAAUAAUUAAGAGGGACGACAAGACCCUAUCGAGCUUUACUAUUUUGUUUCACUGGGGAGGUGAAAAAACUAUAUCUUUUUUUCCUAAUUAACCUUUUUAAAAGAAUCAUGAACAAGUUACCGUAGGGAUAACAGCACAAUUUUUCUUUAGAGAUCUUAUCAUAAGAAAAGAUUGUGACCUCGAUGUUGAAUAAUUAAUCUUUUAGGAGCAAGAUCUUAAUAAGAAAGUCUGUUCGACUUUUGAUUUAUUACA